AGAAAAGUAGGUGCCGCCCCGCACAGGGGCAACGCUUGCAGACCACCAAGAAAACAGGAUUCAACGCAAAGCGCAAAAACCCCACCAAGAGCCAGCCCCAA
rfam:Paraburkholderia tropica strain P-31 P31_contig_17, whole genome shotgun sequence.